rnacentral:lncRNA from 1 species
CACACUUUACCUUGACUUCUCAUGGGGCUUAUAGCUUUUCCAAGUUCUUGGGUGGUUGCAAGAUAGAAUGGUUGUAACAGACUCACCAUUCAUUCAUCCCUUGAUAGACCAUCAAUCCGGAGGUUUUAUAAAUUUUUGCAAAAUAAAUAAGUUCCUAGAAUGAUUCUCUCGAUCGCUUAAUGUGUAUGAAAUCCUCAGCAAAGGCAUUUGUGUUUGCCUUUAAGACCUACCACUAAGGCAGAGAAUGGAGCUUUGGGAAGGUAUAAAGGUGGGCGUACUUAUGAAACUUGUGUUGCUGUUGGUACCCCUUAUCUUAUAAUUAUAAACAUCAUUUUAAUAAAUAAAAUAAAUAGAUGGUAGGGAUUUGAACUAACCUUUCCACAAGUUUUGUUGCAAAUAUCAAUUUCAGGUAUGACAAGUGGAAAGACGCAAAAGACACGAGAAAGCGCACUUCAAGAAAGCGUAUUUAGAAAAGGCCCACCAAAACACAGAACUGGAUCCAUCCGUAACCUAAGGAAGGAUCAGGGCCCAGGGACGAACCUACCACGCAAAGGCGGUGGCCAGUGGGGCCCACCAGUGGUGCGGCCGCACCCUCGUGCGGGCGCACCCCCCGUGGCGGCAACUCGAAACCACCUUUUUCAGACGGUUGCAUGGCGGCAUGCAUAGGACGGUUUCACCUCCUAAAAAUUUAGAUUGCCAUGAAUCAUCCUUGUUGGGCUAUAAAUAGAUGGGUCCACACCAUUCAACACACACACACCAUCAUUUGGAGCAAUACACCUCACAUUUCUACACUUGUUCUUUAGUUUAGAUUGAGUAGUAGAGAAAGGCAAAGCUAGCAAGGAGAGCUUGUCUCCUUGGAGAAUCUUAAAGCUUCUACACUUGUUGAAGAUCUUUAGACCACACCUCCUGCACGAAUCUUUGUUUAGGCACAAUUUUCCUUUUCACAAUAUUUAUGUUUCAUAUAUUUUUUCCCUUCCAAUGUAAUGUGCCUAUUCAAAGUUAUCAAUAAAAAAAGGUUUGUUUAUCUUGUGCACUUGUUUUCUAUAUAUAUUGUGACUAACCAUGACAGGAAAGAAAACAAGUGUGGGGUAAGGACUAUUCAAUAAAAAAUCUAGAUUUGUGCAAACCCUCUUCCCCCAAAAAGAUUUUCAAAUGAAAUGUUUAAAAUGAUGUUACCUUUGUACUCCAUCAAACAUGUCUCCUAUGUUCAAAUAUGUUUUUGCAUACUUUUUAUUCUUAGCUAAUAUCCCUAUAGAUUUAUGAACACUUGUUAUAGGGACCCCAUUUUAUCUAAGUAAUUGACGUAUGUGAUAUAGUAGGAUGACAUGAUGCUUGCUGGUUCUUGCAAAGUACUUGGGUUUUCUUUUAUAAAAAGCAAAGUUCAAUAGCAAGUUUCUUGAAUGAUAAACCUUUAUUCCUACCAUGGCCAAAUAUUUGUUCAUGAUUAAACCUUCUACAUAUGCUGCUUGCUCUGUGUUGAGUUUGGUCAAAUUUUUGGACCGCUGUCGAGAGAUGUUUCAUGCCUCUAAGAUCAGAAUUCACUUGCACCCACCAUAUAAAAGCCGACUCUCACACUGAGAAGUCACGCACAACAUGCUUUCUCUAUCCACCCAAAAUUUCACCAACUCUUACACUGAGGGUUACGCACAUAUAUCCACCAAAUAAAAAUGCUAAUAUCUCACCCUGAGAAUUGUGCGUUCAUAUACAUUCCUUGCAUUUGUUAUCAUAAAGCUCUCUUUCCUUUUCAUCAGAAUCAUAGGAAUGAGCUAUAUAUACAAAAAAAUUAUUAUGAGAAAAAGCCAAAGGGGCAAAACGGGAAGAGAUUCAUACCCGUCCAAAAAAAUAAAAAAAUAAAUAAAUAAAUAAAAUUUGUGUUAUAGCCCAUAUCCUCUCAAGUUUUUCAUCUCAUUUCAAAACAGAGUCUUGAUGCAAGGAAUGUUGCAAUAAAAGUAGUGAUAGGAUUCCACCAAAAAUUCCACACACUUGCACAUCCUGAUCUAAGGGUAUGGCGCACUCCCUCCGGUAUGGUCCUAGGUUUGACUUGACAACAUAUGCAGGGUAAGUAAGUUCCACCAUCAUACCUACCCAAAACUCCAGAUAAGCCUUUUAGAAGUAGGAUGAUAAAAAAGAAGGCCUCAACUCUUUAUGCCUUGGUAAGGAACCACUCACAUAUUAGGAGGGACUUGAGAGCAUCAUUCAAGAAACAUGUGCUAUUUUUAUUUUUCAAAAUUUUGCAAAACCCCAAGUUUCUGCGCAGGGACUAUGUAAGAGAAUUUGAAUCCAAGUUGUUCCAUGUUUCAAUUACACAAGAUAGCUUGGUAGACACUUUGAAGUUCAUAAAUCCAGGUGAAGCUGUGAAUAACCUGUAUGCAGAUUCUUUUGACAAGGAAGAUGAACCCAUUUGGUCUUUAGUGCCUUCACUCAAGGACUAGCAAAGGACCAAGUGUGGGGGAGUUGGUACCCCUUAUCUUAUAAUUAUAAACAUCAUUUUAAUAAAUAAAAUAAAUAGAUGGCAGAGCUUUGAACUAACCUUUCCACAAGUUUUGUUGCAAAUAUCAAUUUCAGGUAUGACACGUGGAAAGGCGCAAAAGACACGAGAAAGCGCACUUGAAGAAAGCGUCUUCAGAAAAGGCGCAAAUCAAAAGAUAAAUGGAAAAGCCCACCAAAACACCGAACUGGAUCCAUCCGUAACCUCGGGAAGGAUCAGGGCCAAGAGACGAACCUACCACACGAAGGCAGUGGCCAGGGGGGCCCACCAGUGGCUCCACACCAUUCAACACACACACCAUUAUUUGGUGCAAUACACCUCACAUUUGUACACUUGUUCUUUAGUUUAGAUUCAGCAGUAGAGCAAGGCAAAGCUAUCAAGGAGAGCUUGUCUCCUCGGAGGAUCUUAGAGCUUCUUGGUUGAAUACAAUUCAGUUCUCCUCCAUGAGCAAGUUCUUAUCUUAUUUAUAUGAUUAUGCAAUUGAAUUAGAGUAUAGUUGUGUUCAUAUCUUGUUCAUAGUAUAUGAACUAGUUCUUAGUUCUUGUGCUAUGUUCUUGAUGUGUUCAUCCUUGUUCUUCAUCGUUCAUCGAAUUAGUAUGAAUAGACAAAGGAUUAAGAUUGGGGUAACGGUUCAUUGGGCUG